ACCGAAAGGUCGACAGGCUGAGCUUCUCCAGGAGCCGAGGUGGGGAGUCUCAUCGUGUCCUGACAGAGUGAGGGAACACCUAGACCAGAACAUCUCCCUGUGCUUCGUGCCUCUCGGAACAUGUCCUCCGGGGCACCGUCCACCGGCAGCCCCCUCGCAGCCUGAAGAAACUUACCUGCCUUUCCACCUCCACCAGCCGCGCCAUCAAGCUUGGUGAGGCCCACGAGCCAGGUCUUUUCAUCUCUCUAGAAUAGCGAUAUCCUUAGCAAUUUCCCGGAAUGUAUAAUGCAGGUGCUUAUUAACACCUCUCAACGUUCAAGGGGUACUUUCAUUAGCACAAAGCCCUUCGGAGAUGUAGAGUCUGAGGGAAACUCCAAUGGUGGAUGUCCAGACAAUGCUAGGCCAGUUGGGAAGUAUGUCAAUGAGUACUGGAGAGAUGCUGUCUUCCUCACUCUCAUCGAGAAGACCAGAGAUGCCAAGUAAGUUGCUUUAAGUCACACAGCUGUACUGUCUACCCAGCCUGGGAGCAGUCAAGGUUUGAAGGGGGUCAUUGUAGAAUUUGGAGCUGUGGGGACCUGGAAUUGGCCACCCCAAGAUAUAUCUCUUUGGCAUCAGGAUUAUUUGAGGCUGAUUGCUUUUGAUAAACUGGGACAGGGAAGGAGGAAUGGAACUUGCCCUUUGUUAGGACACAUUUACAUUUGUAAGGUAAAUCUCUAUCUGUAAAGGUGCCUCCCUCUCUGUACCAGGAAGAAGAAACGAGAUGAUCUUCUCUCUAGAAACUAUUAAUCAAUGCCAAAGGCAAGGACUUAAAUCUGCCUUUUAUUGUGCUUGUCUGGUAACCUCCUGUAACUGACUUCCCUCCCCCUCCCAACGGUGGCAUUUCUUUAAGGAUUAAGCAUCUUUCCUUAGGCUAGGAACUGAUUGCUGCGCUCACCUGUGACCGCCCAGCUCCAGACAAUCCACUUGCCUCCAGCUACGCCCAUCGUGAUAGCAGACCACUACCUGCUG
rnacentral:lncRNA from 1 species